AUGUUAGAACAAUCUAUUAACAUUCUGUGCUGGAACGUGAGGGGUCUAAACUGUUUGGACUGUCGAACUACUGUGCAUGAGACCAUUGCAGCUUCAUCUUGUCAGAUUGUGUGCCUCCAAGAGUCCAAGUUAGACAACGUUGACAAGUUCACUGCUGCAUAUCUGGGAGGUUUUCGCCUUCGUAGCUACGCCCAGUUACCGGCGGUGGGCACCCAUGGUGGCAUCCUAAUGAUCUGGGAUGAUUCCGUCAUUGACAUCAAUGACAUUGUGGCGCUAGAAUUCCGCCUCUUCGCCUCGGUCACCUUGCGUGAGUCUAGCACCACCUUCAAGAUCUCCACCGUCUAUGGCCCUUCUACUGCCUCGAGAAAGGAUGAUUUCUUCGCUGAGUUGAUCACCCAAAAGCCCGCAUCCGGAUCCAAGUGGCUGGUCCUAGGCAACUUCAACCAAAUCUAUCGGGCCCGUGACAAAAAUAAGCGCAAUAUUAAUAGAAGUCACAUCACCCGCUUCCGCAACGCCCUUCAAUCAUGUGAGCUCAAAGAGAUCCACCUUCAAAACCGUCGUUUCACCUGGAGCAAUAAAAGGAUAAAUCCUACUUUGUGCAAGCUUGACUCCUUUUUCUGCAACGCCGAAUGGGACAUUCACUUCAACACUCACAUUCUUCAUGCCCUGUCCUCAUCGCUCCCGGACCAUUUCCCGCUGUUGCUUGCCAAUGAUUGUGGCCCUAGAAGACCUCGGAGCUUUAAAUUUGAAAUUUUUUGGACUUCCCUUCCGAGUUUCAAUGAGAUUGUGCAUAAGGCUUGGAAUGAGCCUUCGGUGCACACCAAACCUUAUCAAGUGUUGUUCCAUAAGCUCAAAAAGACUGGUGUCCGGCUUUCCGAAUGGAGUAGAAGCCUCUUCUCCAAGUCCAAACUCCAUCUGCAUGCCGCCCUUCGAAUCAUUCUUGAGCUUGAUGUGGCACAAGAAUCUCGCACCUUAAGCCUUGCCGAACAUGAUCUUCGGGCUCGUCUCAAGAAAAGAGUGGUCAGUUUGGCGGUCCUUGAGCGUUCAAGGAAAACAAUGUGCCCGCAUUUCCAAUUUGCAGGAGGGCGAUGCCAAUACCAAAUACUUCCAUAG
rnacentral:rRNA from 1 species